rnacentral:rRNA from 1 species
UAGGACUGCUCUACGCAAUCUAGAGAUUAGACGUUCCCUUCGGGGACAUGAAUUACAGGUGGUGCAUGGUUGUCGUCAGCUCGUGUCGUGAGAUGUUGGGUUAAGUCCCGCAACGAGCGCAACCCUUAUUAUCAGUUGCCAGCAUUAAGUUGGGCACUCUGGUGAGACUGCCGGUGACAAACCGGAGGAAGGUGGGGAUGACGUCAAAUCAUCAUGCCCCUUAUGACCUGGGCUACACACGUGCUACAAUGGAUGGUACAACGAGUUGCGAAAUCGCGAGGGUAAGCUAAUCUCUUAAAACCAUUCUCAGUUCGGAUUGUAGGCUGCAACUCGCCUACAUGAAGUCGGAAUCGCUAGUAAUCGCGGAUCAGCAUGCCGCGGUGAAUACGUUCCCGGGUCUUGUACACACCGAAC